AAACUUUCUGUGCUUAUAACAAAUUCUAGCUAAAAUACACCAAACGCAAAUUCACUUUUAAUAUACGGAGAGCGAACCCAUAUUAAGGAUAAGGUACUACAUUUUAGAUCUUUAAAAAAAUCCCCAUGAAGAUUUUUUCUUCUUUUUUAUGAUUGCUUCUUAUAAGUGAAAUUACAAUCAACACAAACAGAUCCCACCGUUUACAAUAUUAGCGGGAGUUUGACGUUGCAAAGCAUACGUAACCAAGCAGAGUAGUCAAUGACAUCAUUGUCGUCCAAUGAAAAAUAAGCAUGAAAAAGUACGGGAAAGAUGAUUAUGAAACUAUUCACCGGGGC
rnacentral:lncRNA from 1 species